CCUACGGGUGGCAGCAGUGGGGAAUAUUGCACAAUGGGGGAAACCCUGAUGCAGCGACGCCGCGUGGGCGAAGAAGUAUUUCGGUAUGUAAAGCUCUAUCAUCAGGGAAGAAAAUGACGGUACCUGACUAAAAAGCCCCGGCUAACUACGUGCCAGCAGCCGCGGUAAUACGUAGGGGGCGAGCGUUGUCCGGAUUUACUGGGUGUAAAGGGAGCGUAGGCGGGCCUGCAAGCCAGAUGUGAAAGCCCGGGGCUCAACCCCCGGACUGCAUUUGAAACUGCAAGGCUAGAGUGUAGUAGAGGUAGGCGGAAUUCCUAGUGUAGCGGUGAAAUGCGUAGAGAUUAGGAGGAACACCAGUGGCGAAGGCGGCCUGCUGGACGAUUACUGACGCUGAGGCUCGAAAGCGUGGGGAGCAAACAGGAUUAGAUACCCCAGUAGUC
rnacentral:rRNA from 1 species